rnacentral:rRNA from 1 species
CCUACGGGUGGCAGCAGUGGGGAAUAUUGGGCAAUGGGCGCAAGCCUGACCCAGCAACGCCGCGUGAAGGAAGACGGCUUUCGGGUUGUAAACUUCUUUUCUGAGGGACGAAGCAAGUGACGGUACCUCAGGAAUAAGCCACGGCUAACUACGUGCCAGCAGCCGCGGUAAUACGUAGGUGGCAAGCGUUAUCCGGAUUUAUUGGGUGUAAAGGGCGGGUAGGCGGGAAAGCAAGUCAGAUGUUAAAACUCAGGGCACAACCCUGAGCCUGCAUUUGAAACUGUUUUUCUUGAGUGCUGGAGAGGCAAUCGGAAUUCGGUGUGGAGCGGUGAAAUGCGUAGAUAGACGGAGGAACACCAGUGGCGAAGGCGGAUUGCUGGACAGUAACUGACGCUGAGGCGCGAAAGCGUGGGGAGCAAACAGGAUUAGAUACCCUAGUAGUC